rnacentral:lncRNA from 1 species
UGACAAUGAGAAAGGAGAAAACAUUUCAUACAGAAUAUGCUGUAUCACUAGUGAUUAAAUCAGAAACAAUUAGAAACUUUAUUUGUCUGUGUCAGUAAUAUGUACCAUUUAUAAGGAAGAGCACAAUUAGUGCAUUUCCCGCCCCCCCCCCAAGCUGUGCACAAUACACACAAAAUAAAAUAAUUUUACACAACUAUAAUAAUAACAAUCCUGAACAACCAGAAUCAUAGUUUCCUAGAACAUGAAAAUUUAAAAAGCAAACAAACCAAAAAGCUUUCAAAUUGAAAUCGACCAAUGCAAGAAUUUCUUAAAGUUCUCUGUGAAAAUUUGCUACAGGAUUAUUGACAUUCCUAAUACAGCUAAAAAAUGAGUGCAAAAAUUUUUCUAAUGUUUAAACAACUUAUAUUCCUUGAAUAUAUUUACUUGGUGCUUCUAGGCUAGCUUUCCAUUUAGCAAUUCUCAAAAAAAAAAAAAAUAAGGAUGGGAAGGAUGGGUUAGAAUGACAAAGAAUUGUAAAGUGUGGGCCAUAGAAAAGUUCCAUUGCCAACAAAGAUAAAAGAUGGGAUACACUGGGCUUUCUCAGUGAUCUGGAUCACCAACAUGAUUGCCCUUCUUGGUUUAAAAUGGAGAGAUAUAUUUAUCUGCAAGUCGGUCAAAGAUAAAGAGGGUGGUUUUCCAAACAUAUGCCUUAUGCUCUCUUAGUUAAAGAAAUUCUUGGGUAUAAAUACAAUUUGGACAAUUGCUUUGAUACAGUUUCAGUGUGUUUAUGUUAAAAGAGUUUCAUAAUUGUUUUUUCUUGCAAGAUAAAAAUCUUUCCAUAUGGCUUUCUUCACUUUUACUCAUGAAAAUAGUAAUCACAUAAACUGUAACCCUUCUGAGGGCAGGGAUCUAGACUGUUUUGUUCAUGGCUUAGUCCCCAGAAAGUAUCAUACUACCUGGCACAUUAAGUGGGUAACCAGCAUUUAAUUACUCAUUCAGUCACCAAAUGUUUAUUAAAUGAGGAAGGAUCAUGGUUACUGAGUGACAGAAGAAAAAAUAAGUCUCAACAGCUUUAAUUUAUUAAGUAUUUUUGAAUCAAUACAGAGGGCUAGGAAUGUCUCCAGCCUGGGAUUCCUUAUAGACACAGAAGUCUCCGAGAGGUGACCAAAGUCAUUCUAUUAUUUUUCUCAUUAGUGGACUCACUACUUUGGAAUGUUGGGUUUAUCCAUGUUCUUUGGUAUUUUAACAUAGAAACAGCUAUUCUUUUUAAAGGGUUAAAAAUAUCCCAGUCCAAUCCUCCUGGGAGGUACUAGUCUUAUUUAAUUGCCUUCUCUUUCAGCAUAAGUAGAGGAGACAACACUUUUAAAGGCCCGUUGGUCACCCUGGCUUCUUUCUUACUCAGCAACUACUGAUAUAAUCAAAGAGGACUAGACUGGACAGUGAAAGAAACAGGGCUCAAAAUAGCCUUUUAAGUAAAAAAAUAAAAUGAACAAACCAGCACUAUCUACCAUCUGUGCCAGACAGUGCAGAUGUGAAAUAAAUACUUUGCAGGGAGGGGUGUUGUGGAAAGGGUGGCUCUGAAAGCCUAGGCACAUCCAACAUAUCAACGUCUCUAUAAGGCCUUUCUCCUUGGCCUUCCUGAAUUAAUGGGUGAUUUUUAGAGGCCUCUGAUGUGUUCCACAUGGCUAAUUUUCCAUGAAGAUCUUUGUAGUUUGCCUGCUAUCCUCUCAAUAGCUUUAACUUCUCCCCACAUGACAGUUAUUGCUUCUUAGAAAUGAAUGUGCAGAACCGUGAACAAUAAUCCAUUUUCUCCUUUUAUCCCUAGUAAUUAAUCAAACUCAAUAACAGCACAAAAGUAACAACUCAGGUGAAAAGAAAACUCACUUAUGUCUUCAAUGUCCAAUCAACAUUGCCAAAUGGGAGAACAGUAUGUACUAUACUCUACUAUAUACAGAUACUCUUUGUUUUGUUUUAUUUGUUUUUCACCAUGCACUGUGUAACAGGUAUCACAACAACAUUUCCGAACGGCACAUGAAGAAGGAGCAAAUGUUCAGUCAUGACUGGAACAGGAUUGUGCAAGCCAUGGAUGCCUUUGAAAAUAAAACUGACAGACAAUCCCAAGCAACGGCAACAUGGGACUGAGACACAUGUUAAUGCAAAUGGAAAACGAUGAUGUGCUUUUUGAAUGGGGUUAUUCUUACUGUUUGCAUAGGGGAUGGCAGGUGGACAGGAGGAACAGGGUUGGGAUGGGGCACCUGGGGGCUUAGCUGGGCUGAAUGCUGGAAGAAGGACCUUGCCAAUCACAGUCCAGAGCUAAAGAGAUAAGAAAGAAAGGAUUUUGCACGUUCCUGGGAAUCUAGGCACGUUUUCCUUGUACCUGUUAAACGAGACUGCCAGGUAUCACAUGUUUAAAUAUCAGACUAUUUCUAGAACCAUCGGAUUUCCUGGCUCCAUUCCACUUUUAUGCUUCUUCUUGGAGGCAGCUUCACCUCCACUCACAUUCCGGAGAUAAGCAUGAACUUUGGUAAUACGAUGAAGACAUGCUUCUUUCUUCUUCCAUGCCCAGAUUUUUUCUUAAUCCAAAAUAAGUUUUAAAGUGAUUGGGGGAGGUGAGGGGGAAUACUAAUGAUUUAAAUUUUUACCAAAACCCAUUUACAUUUGGAUGGUUUCACUUUCCACAAAGAAAAGCAACAACCCUGACUCUCCCAAAAAAACAAAACAAAACAAAAUAACAAAAAUAAAGCCAAACAUUAACUACCUCCCCAGCUCCACUGAAAACAAAACCAAAAACAAAACAAAUCAAAGCCUUAAGGAUUUAUCAACCUGGAGAGAGUGCAGCCCUUCUAGACUGAGCUGCAAAGAUGGCCCUGCCUCCAUGCCUUGUUGAACAUGAUGAUGCCCCUGGGAAUGGGAGGUGAUGGUUUUUUACUUCGGCCCUAGUACAGAGUAUGCUCUUGAAGCUGGAUUCCAUCAGCAGGAAAAUCUUGGUCCACUACAGAAGGUUGAACAACAGUGACUUAAACUUCUUGAUGGGUAGAACACAGGGGUUUAGAGCACAUUUGAGCUGGGGGACUUCAAAUCCUGCCUUCGCAGCUGACUGUGUGACUCUGGAAGAUUACUUAACUUCUCUGGGCCUCAAUUUCCUAAUCUGUUAAAUGGGGAUGGUACUGCUCACUUCAGAGUGCUGUUGUUCAUUUCAGGUGGCCCUGUUCCUUUCACUCAGAAACUUUGAAGCAGGUUCUUACCAAAUGCUCUUUACUGUAUCAGGAGAACAAAGAUUGAAGAAGGUAUGGGCAGUUUGUGAAUCCAGACUCCUGGAUUUGUGCUGCUUUGUGCAUUCAUGAUCACACAUUCACACAGCCCAAUCAACUAUCACAGAGACUGGAAAAUCUCAAGACCUGAAGAUACUACCUUUGAUCAAACUGUGACAAUAUUUAUGGAAUUAAACUACAUGGCACAGUCAUUUACCUUUUAAAAUUAGGUGUCCAAGAGAGAAUCCAAGGGGUGCUGACAAGGUCUAGAUAACUGAUACAUUUGACAACGGACAGAGUGUCCAAGGAAAAUAUCAAGAAGCUUCAUCAUGUUCAACUCCGACUGUGACUACACAAUGCUCUCAAAUCUCCAGGCAGCCUCUAUUGAUUGAUCUGAGUUGGCAGAUGAGUUGGCAGGUUUUGGAAAUCACUAGUGGGUAAAAAAGACCAAUUUGCAACUAGGCUCUCAUGCUCUGUUGAAAACUAUGUCACAAUAUCACAAUACUAGAUGCUGGGCUCAAGACAGCAAACAGAAAGCAGCAAGGGCAGUGACUGGAAGCUGGGAGAGAGGGUCAACAGCUGAAUCUCAGCCUGAUGGAGGCCACCAUUUAAUAAGUAAAUACAUGCACGGCUAUUUAGAUCCUGCAUCAGACAGGUCAUCAGAAAACAUGAAGCUAAAUGCAGUAAAGAAUUACUCUCUUGAACUCUUGAAAAUAUCAAAAACAUGAAGCUAAAUGCAGUAAAGAAUUAGUCUCUUGAACUCUUGAAAAUAUCAUUUUCUUAUAGAAAUGGUUUAAAAAUUUCUUUUUUAUUAUUUCUAAUUUUCCUUCAGAAAAUUGUGAGUUUUAACCUACAACACAUACACUCCAAGGUAAUGCCACUCUAAUGCUGUCUAGUUGAUCUGAAUAACUAACUGGUCAAUUAUCAGAUCCACCAAACUGUCUCUCUGGAGAUUAACUUCUGCCAGCAUAUUGGUUUCUGUUCAUUUUCACAAGAUUGACAGGCUCAUUACAGCAAUAUUAACAUCUUCCUUUGAGCACUCACACUGUGCAAUUGUAAUUUUGCAUAUGUUGAUGAGCAGGCAAUUACAUCAAAGAGUGAACACUGGGCUGAUGUGCAAGGCACUAUUUAAUUAUAAAAACAGUAUAGGAUUGAGCCCUGUCACUGAGUCUUCCAUUCCUUCUAUCUCGCCUGUUUCUAAUUUAUUUCUCUAUUUCUUCAUUUCUUCCUUGACUGUCUUCAUUCUUUGCUUUUUAUUUCUUUCUCCUUAAAUGACAGACCUUUUCUUAGAUGCCAUUUCUCUAUGUCUGCGCUUAAGACAAGAAUUUUUUUCCUCCUAGUUGUUGGUUAAUGUCUGCAAAUGUGAGAGCAUGUUAACAUGACAAACAACAAGGAAUUUGAAAUAAACUUAAAUGAAACA